rnacentral:tRNA from 1 species
GGAAAUAGCUCAGUGAUCGAGUGCUUGCUUCACAUGCAUGAGGUCCUGGGUUCAAUCCUCAGUACUUCCA